UGGGGAAUCUUGCGCAAUGGGCGAAAGCCUGACGCAGCGACGCCGCGUGGGGGAUGACGGGUUUCGGCUUGUAAACCCCUGUUGCCCGGGACGAACUUCUCCUUUCGAGGAGAUUGACGGUACCGGGUGAGGAAGCACCGGCUAACUCUGUGCCAGCAGCCGCGGUAAUACAGAGGGUGCGAGCGUUGUCCGGAAUCACUGGGCGUAAAGGGCGCGUAGGUGGCGCGACAAGUCGGUGGUGAAAGUUCGACGCUCAACGUCGAAUCGGCCACCGAUACUGUCGGGCUCGAGCACUGUAGAGGCUAAUGGAAUUCCGGGUGUAGCGGUGGAAUGCGUAGAGAUCCGGAAGAACACCGGUGGCGAAGGCGGUUAGCUGGGCAGUUGCUGACACUGAGGCGCGACAGCGUGGGGGGAGCAAACAGGAUUAGAUACC
rnacentral:rRNA from 1 species